rnacentral:rRNA from 1 species
AUACAGAGGGUGCAAGCGUUAAUCGGAUUUACUGGGCGUAAAGCGCGCGUAGGUGGCUAAUUAAGUCAAAUGUGAAAUCCCCGAGCUUAACUUGGGAAUUGCAUUCGAUACUGGUUAGCUAGAGUAUGGGAGAGGAUGGUAGAAUUCCAGGUGUAGCGGUGAAAUGCGUAGAGAUCUGGAGGAAUACCGAUGGCGAAGGCAGCCAUCUGGCCUAAUACUGACACUGAGGUGCGAAAGCAUGGGGAGCAAACAGGAUUAGAUACCCUGGUAGUCCAUGUCGUAAACGAUGUCUACUAGCCGUUGGGGCCCUUGAGGCUUUAGUGGCGCAGCUAACGCGAUAAGUAGACCGCCUGGGGAGUACGGUCGCAAGACUAAAACUCAAAUGAAUUGACGGGG